rnacentral:ncRNA from 1 species
GGGCACCUUCGGGGGCCUUCAUACCAUAGCGUCGGGAGGACCCGACGUGUUUAGCUAAACGGAAGACAGCAA